UACGAAGGGGGCUAGCGUUGCUCGGAAUUACUGGGCGUAAAGCGCACGUAGGCGGUCUUUUAAGUCGGGGGUGAAAUCCUGGAGCUCAACUCCAGAACUGCCUUCGAUACUGAAAGACUUGAGUUCGGGAGAGGUGAGUGGGAACUGCGAGUGUAGAGGUGAAAUUCGUAGAUAUUCGCAAGAACACCAGUGGCGAAGGCGGCUCACUGGCCCGAUACUGACGCUGAGGUGCGAAAGCCAGGGGAGCAAAGCGGG
rnacentral:rRNA from 1 species